AUGAGAGUCGGGGGGGGGGGGGCAGCCURUGUGGGACCCAAUGUCAGCCCCUGCGUGACCUUGAGCAGGACCCAUCACCAUCCUUUGUCCCGUCAUUUCCUCUUCUGGGCAACGGGGACAAUAAGCCACCCCACGCCAUCACACGGCGAGAAGGGUCUUGGCUUCUGGGUGGGCAGGGGACGCUGGACAUGGGGGCCCAGCCCCUGUGGUCCCGACAGAGACCCACAGACCCACACCCCCGCCAGGCCACCUGCUUCUCUCCCAGGUCUGCCACUGUCGGCCUCGGACCUGGGAGGUCAGACAGGUCACCGCCAUCACCUCUUCAGCUGCAGAACGGCGGAAGCCACCGCGAGGUCAGAGAAACACGAAGCUGGGCGCCGGGUGACCCCAGAGUGUGGAGGACACCGGGCGUGUGGGGACAGGAACGGGCACCAGACUGUGGCACGUGGGCCACAGUCCCGCGUCCUGGGCGAGGCCAUGUCCAGGCCUGGGGCCUGUGUGGGCUGCAACCUUGGAAUUUCUCAUAAGCAAGAGCGUGUGACCACCGACACCUGCCUCUGCAGAGCCAGCUCCCGUGGCCACGGGGGUCAGAGGAGGGGCCAUCAGAAGGUGACAGGUGACAGGCACAGGAGGAGAGCAGGCCAGGCCCAGAAGGACGGCUCCGAGGCAGACGCACGAGGUCCAGGCCGAGGCCUGCUUGGUCCCUCUUCGCUGCCCAGGAGAACCCCCUCCAGGCUGCCCAGGGGAGCCGCGGCUGGCCAGGGUGGGCUGGCUGAGUGGAGCGCGCUCCGUGGCCCCUGAGGCUGUCACGGGAAGCAGCACUUGGUUCUCUGGACGCUGGCCUCUGCAGCCCCAGGCGGCCACUCUAGGACACUCAGCCGCCCACACAGUCCCAAGUCCAGCCACUGACCACAGCUGUGUGAGACCCCAAGCCACACAGCCUUGCUCAGCCCUUCCUGACUUCCUGACGUGCAGAAGCUACGAGAACAAGCUGCUUCUUGUAAGUUUUUUUUUUUUUUUUGUGGGUGGGGAGGGUACUGGGGACUGAACUCAGGGGCACUCGACCACUGAGCCCCAUCCCCAGCCCUAUUUUGCAUUUUAUUUAGAGGCAGGGUCUCACUGAGCUGCUUAGGGCCUCACCAUUGCUGAGGCUGGCUUUGAACUUGUGAUCCUCCUGCCUCAGCCUCCCGUGCCACUGGGAUUACAGGAGUGCACCACCGGGCCUGGCUUCUUCUAAGUUUUAAGCUACUAAAUUUGGGCUGGUUUGUUACACAGCAGUAGCUAACGGAUCAGGAUCCACUGCCAAUCCUGUUGGAUCAAUGGUCAAAAUAACCCACCACCAGCACCCAAAACCAGGCCACUGUGGUCUCCUGCCUGGCCUCCCGCCCUGUCCUUGACUCUGCCAUCCAUGCAGCACCACAGCCAGAGGCUCUGCUCAAAGCCCCCAGUGACUCCCUCGGAGCCCAGACAGGGAGGCACGGCCCUGUGCAACCCCACACCCUCCCUCUCCUCCGUCCCCCCACUCCCCUAACUCACUCCACUCCAGCUCUGGGGCUUCGGGCUCCUCCCCAGACUCACCAAGCACACCCCUUCCUCAGAGCCGCCACCCAUGCUGUGCCCACUAGCUGGGGUCUCCCUUCCCACCGGCUCCCACAUUCUGGAAUGUGAGAUGCCACCCAUCAGCAGGCCUCCCCGACUCCUGCCCCUGCCUCCAGUACCCCCAGCCUUCACGUCCUGCUCCUGCUCCUGCUGAGGCUGGUAAAUCCUGCUCGGCCUUUCGCUGCCUGUCUUUCUUGUGUUUCUGCAAGCCCCUGCCAACAGGGACUUUCUAUGGUUUAUCUUCAGUGCCCAGAGCAGGGCCUGGCCUGCCAUGCAGCUGUGAGUGAGUGGAUGGAUGCAUGCAUGACUCAUCUCACCCCUGAUGGUGACAGGGUGACAGGGAGAGCGCUGAGCCUUUCAAGACAGGUUGCUCACAGGAAAAAAAAAAAAAAAAAAAAAAAUCCAAGCCAGGCACCAUGGCGCACACCUGUAAUCCCAGUGAUUCUGGGAGGCUGAGGGAGGAGGAUCGCAGGUUCGAGGCCAGCCUCAGCAACUUGGCAAAACCCCAUCUCAAACUAAAAUUUGAAAAGGGCUGGGAUAAGGGUCCGUGGAGAGCACUCGCCUAUCGUGCACAAGUCCCUGGACUCAGUCCCGAGUACCAAGGGGAACAAUUCCACUAAGAAGUGCACAGAGGACCUGAAUAGACAUCCCUGCCAAGAAGACCUACAAAGGCCAAGAUGCACGUGGAGAAACGUCUGCACCACGAAUCACCAGAGAGACGCAAAUCAAGCCCCCGGAGAGCUCGUGACCCAUCAGUGUGGCUAUCAUCAAAAUCACAAGAAAUAGCAAAUGCCGGGUGAGAACGUGGAGGAAGGGAGAGUCCCAGACCUGUGGCCAGCACCGGCAGGACAGCCCGCAGAGCGGAGCUUCCUCAAAACACAACACCGAGCUCUGCUCCCCUGACCCCGCCACGGGGCCCAGAGCCGGGGACAGGAGUGCAGCAGGUCCGAGGUGUGCACUCCGCGAUGAUCCCUGCAGCGUCCUUCACGGUCCCAAGAAGCGCCCUCGACCCCAGCAUCCAUCGGGGGAUUAGUGGCUAAAGAAAACGUGGCCUGUCCACAGUGGCCUCCCAYGCAGCCGGAAAAGAGGGUGAUUCUGUCAUGUGCAGCAACACGGGUGAGCGGGAGGAAGUGGYGUGUGGGGACGCGGGGACAGGGAGGGAAAGCCACGUGUGCUCACUGAUAGGCAGAAGUUGAGGAAGUGGCAGCAGUGGAGCAGCCCUGAGCAGAGCCAGGGUGGYGGCUGGAGCAGGGAUGGCGGGGUCAGCGCGCAGGCUGGACAGGAGGGUGACCGCAUGCUCUGCAGCGCCCUAGGAUGGCCAGGGCUGAGGUCAUUGAGAGAGUAUUGCAACAUCGUCAGGAGAGGGAUCCUGAGAGUUCCCAGCGCAAAGAAAGGAUCCAUGGUAAAGUGAUUGGCACUACAGUCACCCUGAUCAGCACACAGUGUGUGCAUGUAGUGAGAUACCACGCCGAACCCCAAAAUGCACAAUCAUCAUGUCUCAAUUAAAAAUCAACAUUUAGAGGUGCAGCGGCGCACGCCUGUAAUCCCAGUGGCUUGGGAGACUGAGGCAGGAGGAUCGUGAGUUCAAAGCCAGCCUCAGCAAGGCACUAAGCAACUCAGUGAGACUCCGUCCCUAAAUAAAACACAAAAUAAAGAGGAUGUGGCUCA
ensembl:lncRNA